rnacentral:lncRNA from 1 species
CUUUCCAACUCUGGUUCAUACAUCAUGAAAUACUUUACAAUUAUUAAAACACAUCCUACAGAAUAAAUCUAAUAAUGAAUGUUUUACGGGCAACACAGUCCGUCGUCAAAUGCAUGGUUACAUGGAGGGCAUCUGUCCUGUAUAACCGGGUCUGUAACUGGACACACAGAGGGUAUGUUACAACCCAAAACUGCAAAAGUAGAAUUAUUCUUUCCAAUUACUCAUCAUGACAUUAAAUGAAAUAUAAUAUAUAACUGAGUUUAUUUAUAACAUAUUACGUUUUGAAUAUUUUACUAACAUUUGUGUGUAUCAAGCAGUUCGCAUGUGUUUUUGAUACAAACAUCUACCGAUAUGUAUUUUGAAGUAACGGUGAAGUGACUGAGCCUUAUUAAUGACAGGUUCAAUAAUGAAUAUUUUGCAAUUAUCGUUAUUCGUAAAACGAGAUUCACCUAAUUGAUGAAUUGUGUAUUCAAAGGAACAAAUUGGGGUUGGAAAAGUGUAGACACAUCUUUUUUAUAUCAAGGUUUUCACGUUUUUUGAUCGGUCGUUUGGUUGGCUUUUCUUCAAUUUGAAUUUGAGUUUCGCUUUUACCUUUAGUAUCUUCUAUUCCGUUACUGACAAAAGUGUCAAAGAUACCUGGUGACCUUUCUAAACUCUUAAAUUGAAGAAAAACUGGCAUUGUCGUGGCAAAAAAAACGUAAAACGACGUUAAGGCGAAUAGUAUAAUUCAAUCUCUGUAACUAAUGGUGAAUUCAAC